rnacentral:lncRNA from 1 species
UAUGAGGCCUGUUUCCCAUUUACAGUCUACUUAUCUUGAAUUAUCUUGUUCAACCUCAAAAGAGAUUUUUUUUUUUUUGUUGGUUGUUUUACAUAUGAAUGCAAUCUAUAUACAGUAGUUACUUGCGUAGAGCAGGAGAGACAUGCUGAAAUGUGAUUAUGCUUCUUUUUUACUCUCUUUCUUAUAAAGAAAAGGUAGAGUAUGAUGUCCCGAGGCGGCCGUGACUCACCUGUGCAAACAGGAGGUUGGAAAGACUGGUUUUAAAUCCGCCAAAUCCACCAUAUUCUGCAACUGACUGCCAGCUUUAUAUUCUUCCUUAAUUAACCACAAAUUUUAGUACUUAAGAACUUUGUCUGUGCCAUUCAUGAUGCUAAAGUUAAUUUCUUUUAAUUGCAGACAGUUAGUAGCUCUACAGAAGAGGAGGACGAGUAAUGUCUUGAUUUACUAGGAUUGAAAGUACAACUAGGGAGAGAGAAAACACCAUUACAGAAUAGGACCAGUGGAAACUAUACUUCCCAAAGGUCCUUUAUGUCACCUGUUGAAUACUGGGAUUGCGAGCCAUUGUGCAGUGAUUUACACAGAUUUUUCUGUCAGGAGAGAAGGCUUUGUGGCAGACAAUGCCUUUUGUUGGCGGGCACAAAGAAGAGGUUUCAAACAUCUAUUCAUGUUUCCACUGUGAUUAUGGCCCAUGGAUGUAUAAUUUCAUCAGAGAGGAAUAAAAUGUUUUCCAUCCAUCAAGCAUCAAAAAAGAAUAUAACUCUAAAAAUCAUUUCACUUGCUUACAUUGCUUAUUCAUGUGGGUGAUAUGUGUAGUUUGGUGCAGGUGUGCAAUGGAUUAUUAUAAUUCGGAGCUCAGGCAUAUUGUUUACUUCCUGCAUGUCAACUCUAACACUCCUGCAUGAGAGGGUACUGACAGGGAAGAUGUAGUCCAUGUGCAAUAUGUUUUUGCAUGUCCCAGCCUGGAAAUGCUUGUUCUUUGAGCUAAAUGUUCAAGACCUAAUA